rnacentral:rRNA from 1 species
CAGCAGCCGCGGGAACACGUAGGGUGCGAGCGUUAAUCGGAAUUACUGGGCGUAAAGCGUGCGCAGGCGGUUGUGUAAGACAGGUGUGAAAUCCCCGGGCUUAACCUGGGAACUGCGCUUGUGACUGCACAGCUAGAGUAUGGCAGAGGGGGGUGGAAUUCCACGUGUAGCAGUGAAAUGCGUAGAGAUGUGGAGGAACACCGAUGGCGAAGGCAGCCCCCUGGGCCAAUACUGACGCUCAUGCACGAAAGCGUGGGGAGCAAACAGGAUUAGAUACCCCAGUAGUCCCUGUCUCUUAUAA